GACGAACGCUGGCGGCGUGCUUAACACAUGCAAGUCGAACGGAAAGGCCCUGCUUUUGUGGGGUGCUCGAGUGGCGAACGGGUGAGUAACACGUGAGUAACCUGCCCUUGACUUUGGGAUAACUUCAGGAAACUGGGGCUAAUACCGGAUAGGAGCUCCUGCUGCAUGGUGGGGGUUGGAAAGUUUCGGCGGUUGGGGAUGGACUCGCGGCUUAUCAGCUUGUUGGUGGGGUAGUGGCUUACCAAGGCUUUGACGGGUAGCCGGCCUGAGAGGGUGACCGGACAGAUGGGGACGAGAGUGCGCCCGGACGCCGUAGGGGGGACAGAGGUGGGAAAGGGUAAAGAGGGGGGGAGAGCCGAAGCGAGCAGCGCCGGGGGCGGGGGGGGGGCCUUGGGUUUGUAACCGGCUGCCCCCGGUGCCGAGGCGUGGGUGAGGUUAGGGGGAAAGGAAGCACCGGCUAACUAGGUG
rnacentral:rRNA from 1 species